CCUACGGGGCGCUGCAGUGGGGAAUAUUGCACAAUGGGCGCAAGCCUGAUGCAGCCAUGCCGCGUGUGUGAAGAAGGCCUUCGGGUUGUAAAGCACUUUCAGCGGGGAGGAAGGCGGUGAGGUUAAUAACCUCAUCGAUUGACGUUACCCGCAGAAGAAGCACCGGCUAACUCCGUGCCAGUAGCCGCGGUAAUACGGAGGGUGCAAGCGUUAAUCGGAAUUACUGGGCGUAAAGCGCACGCAGGCGGUCUGUCAAGUCGGAUGUGAAAUCCCCGGGCUCAACCUGGGAACUGCAUUCGAGACUGGCAGGCUAGAGUCUUGUAGAGGGGGGUAGAAUUCCAGGUGUAGCGGUGAACUGCGUAGAGAUCUGGAGGAAUACCGGUGGCGAAGGCGGCCCCCUGGACAAAGACUGACGCUCAGGUGCGAAAGCGUGGGGAGCAAACAGGAUUAGAUACCCUUGUAGUC
rnacentral:rRNA from 1 species